AUCGAACGCUGGCGGCAGGCUUAACACAUGCAAGUCGAGCGGGCAUCCGUAUGGUGUCGGCGGCUGACUGGUGAGUAACGCGUGGGAACGUGCUCUCCGGGUCGGAAUAUGUCGGGGGAGCAUAAGCUAAUACCGGGUACGUUCGAGAGCAGUAAAGUUGAGCUACCGAAGGAUCGGCCCGCGUCUGAUUAGGCAGUUGGUGAGGCUAUGGCUCACCAAGGCGACGAUCAGUAGAUGGUCUGAGAGGCUGAUCCGACACACUGGGACUGGGACGCGGCCCAGACUCCUACGGGAAGCAGCAGUGGGGAAUACUGGAAAAUGGGGGCAAUGCUGAUGGCGCCAUGCCGCGUGAGUGAUGACGGCCUUAGGGUUGUAAAGAUCUUUUCUCCGGGACGAUAAUGACGGUACCGGAGGAAUAAGCACCGGCUAACUUCGUG
rnacentral:rRNA from 1 species